rnacentral:rRNA from 1 species
AUACGGAGGGUGCGAGCGUUAUCCGGAUUUAUUAGGUUUAAAGGGUGUGUAGGCGGGAGCCUAAGUCAGUGGUGAAAUCUCACAGCUUAACUGUGAAACUGCCAUUGAAACUGGGUUUCUUGAGUAUAGUUGAGGUAGGCGGAAUGUGUAAUGUAGCGGUGAAAUGCAUAGAUAUUACACAGAACACCGAUUGCGUAGGCAGCUUACUAAGCUAUUACUGACGCUGAUGCACGAAAGCGUGGGUAGCGAACAGGAUUAGAAACCCGAGUAGUCC